rnacentral:snRNA from 1 species
GGAUGUGAGUGAGAGUGGUCUGGCUGUGACAUCUGUUUGACUUUCAGGGUUGACUCAGUUGAUCUGGUAGGCUAGGGAGGUGACCCCUACCUCCCUCACAGUUCCAUGAGCAUCCAUGCCAAAGCUGCAUGCUUGAAAAGGACAACCAUCCCCAAUAGAGGAGGACUGUUCUUCAAUCAAGGGCAUACAAGUGUCUGUGCUCCCGUUAGACCCUCUAUACAAGCUCUCAUAUUGGGGUACCAACCUCAAAGACGGCCCUAAAUGACACCUCCCUCUUGAUAUUUAUGUCCUCAUGCAUUCACCUCCUAAAUUGUAUGAGGGUUGCU